UGGUAACAAUAUCAAAGAAUAGAUCCUACCUACAAUCUACGAUACGCAA
rnacentral:SRP_RNA from 1 species